AUGAACGCUGGCGGCGUGCCUAAUACAUGCAAGUCGAGCGAACGGACGAGAAGCUUGCUUCUCUGAUGUUAGCGGCGGACGGGUGAGUAACACGUGGAUAACCUACCUAUAAGACUGGGAUAACUUCGGGAAACCGGAGCUAAUACCGGAUAAUAUUUUGAACCGCAUGGUUCAAAAGUAAAAGACGGUCUUGCUGUCACUUAUAGAUGGAUCCGCGCUGCAUUAGCUAGUUGGUAAGGUAACGGCUUACCAAGGCAACGAUGCAUAGCCGACCUGAGAGGGUGAUCGGCCACACUGGAACUGAGACACGGUCCAGACUCCUACGGGAGGCAGCAGUAGGGAAUCUUCCGCAAUGGGCGAAAGCCUGACGGAGCAACGCCGCGUGAGUGAUGAAGGUCUUCGGAUCGUAAAACUCUGCUAUUAGGGAAGAACAUAUGUGUAAGUAACUGUGCACAUCUUGACGGUACCUAAUCAGAAAGCCACGGCUAACUACGUG
rnacentral:rRNA from 1 species